rnacentral:rRNA from 1 species
CGGCAUGCCUUACGCAUGCAAGUCGAACGACGCCAGGGGGCAACUCCUGGCGAGUGGCGAACGGGUGAGCAAUACAUCGGAACGUGUCCUCUUGUGGGGGAUAACCAGUCGAAAGACUGGCUAAUACCGCAUGAGAUCGCGAGAUGAAAGCGGGGGAUUCGCAAGGACCUCGCGCGAGAGGAGCGGCCGAUGUCCGAUUAGCUAGUUGGUGAGGUAACGGCUCACCAAGGCGACGAUCGGUAGCUGGUCUGAGAGGACGACCAGCCACACUGGGACUGAGACACGGCCCAGACUCCUACGGGAGGCAGCAGUGGGGAGUUUUGGACAAUGGGCGCAAGCCUGAUCCAGCCAUGCCGCGUGUGUGAAGAAGGCCUUCGGGUUGUAAAGCACUUUCGGACGGAACGAAAUCGCGCGGGCGAACAGUCCGCGUGGAUGACGGUACCGUAAGAAGAAGCACCGGCUAACUACGUGCCAGCAGCCGCGGUAAUACGUAGGGUGCGAGCGUUAAUCGGAAUUACUGGGCGUAAAGCGUGCGCAGGCGGUAUCGCAAGUCAGGCGUGAAAUCCCCGAGCUCAACUUGGGAAUGGCGCUUGAAACUAUGAUGCUGGAGUGUGGCAGAGGGAGGUGGAAUUCCACGUGUAGCGGUGAAAUGCGUAGAGAUGUGGAGGAACACCGAUGGCGAAGGCAGCCUCCUGGGCCAACACUGACGCUCAUGCACGAAAGCGUGGGGAGCAAACAGGAUUAGAUACCCUGGUAGUCCACGCCCUAAACGAUGAGGACUGGAUGUCGGAAGGGUCUGCCUUUCGGUGUCGUAGCUAACGCGUUAAGUCCUCCGCCUGGGGAGUACGGCCGCAAGGUUGAAACUCAAAUGAAUUGACGG